rnacentral:rRNA from 1 species
UGGGGAAUCUUGCCCAAUGGACGAAAGUCUGAGGCAGCGACGCCGCGUGGGGGAAGAAGGCCUUCGGGUUGUAAACCUCUUCCAGCAGGGACGAAGCCACUCGGGUGAAUAGCCCAGAGGGUGACGGUACCUGCAGAAAAAGCCCCGGCUAACUACGUGCCAGCAGCCGCGGUAAUACGUAGGGGGCAAGCGUUGUCCGGAUUUAUUGGGCGUAAAGAGCGUGUAGGCGGCCAGACAGGUCCGUUGUGAAAACUAGAGGCUUAACCUCUAGACGUCGAUGGAAACCGUCUGGUUAGAGUCCGGAAGAGGAGAAUGGAAUUCCUGGUGUAGCGGUGAAAUGCGCAGAUAUCAGGAAGAACACCCGUGGCUAAGGCGGUUCUCUAGUACGGUACUGACGCUGAGACGCGAAAGCGUGGGGAGCGAAC